UUACCUGGCCUUGACAUACUAAGAACUUUCCAGAGAUGGAUUGGUGCCUUCGGGAACUUAGAUACAGGUGCUGCAUGGCUGUCGUCAGCUCGUGUCGUGAGAUGUUGGGUUAAGUCCCGCAACGAGCGCAACCCUUUUCCUUAUUUGCCAGCGGGUUAAGCCGGGAACUUUAAGGAUACUGCCAGUGACAAACUGGAGGAAGGCGGGGACGACGUCAAGUCAUCAUGGCCCUUACGGCCAGGGCUACACACGUGCUACAAUGGUCGGUACAAAGGGUUGCUACCUCGCGAGAGGAUGCUAAUCUCAAAAAGCCGAUCGUAGUCCGGAUCGCAGUCUGCAACUCGACUGCGUGAAGUCGGAAUCGCUAGUAAUCGCGGAUCAGAAUGCCGCGGUGAAUACGUUCCCGGGCCUUGUACACACCGCCCGUCACACCAUGGGAGUUUGUUGCACCAGAAGUAGGUAGUCUAACCGCAAGGAGGACGCUUACCACGGUGUGGCCGAUGACUGGGGUGAAGUCGUAACAAGGUAGGCGUAGAUGA
rnacentral:rRNA from 1 species